AUGGGAGUGCUCCCUCAAGUAUACUGCACACACAUGUGCACAGACGGCAAAUGCGUCACUGGGAGGGUGCCCCACCUGCUGCUCCGGUGCAGGUGUCAUUUUUUUUCUUUUUCUUCUAUAGACACUCCAAACUUCUGUAACAAAACACAAAGAAACUUUAAACUGCGAGAAUUACCUAACAUGCAUUUUUACCUUGAGCUGAACCAUCAUGUCUGUACCAAACUACUACUAUUUUUAAUUUAUCUUGUGAAAAAUCUCAGAUUAAAAUUUGAACUUCUAGAUCAAACAUGCACAUGGAACCAACAACACUUUCACAUACCUCAGUGUUACUUGCCUACAUGCUUCUGCAAUCACAGGAAAGACAAAUAUAUCCACACAACUAUGCCAACCAAAAAUAAAAACUUGAAUUCAGAGGUUUCUAUGGAGUUUCAACUUUUGUACAUUGAACUCCCUCGCUGGGUAAAAGAGAAUAAAAGAGAUCAAUAUAUGAAGUUACAAAGAUCCAACAAUUUAUUAGGCCGCAAGCAACCACAUUGA
rnacentral:rRNA from 1 species